UACAGAGGGUGCAAGCGUUGUUCGGAAUUAUUGGGCGUAAAGGGAGUGUAGGCGGUUGCCUCAGUCUUCUGUGAAAUCUACGGGCUUAGCCUGUAACGUGCAGAGGAAACUGGGCGACUUGAGUGUCGGAGAGGAUAGGGGAAUACCCGGUGUAGAGGUGAAAUUCGUAGAGAUCGGGUGGAACACCAGUGGCGAAGGCGGCAUCCUGGACCAACACUGACGCUGAUGAGCGAAAGCCAGGGGAGCAAACGGG
rnacentral:rRNA from 1 species